AUUAUAGCCAGCCUUCAGUUGUAAUCACUCUACCCCACUCCGUAUUUCUUAAUCCACUCCCCCUUAUGGGAUUUAAUGGGAAAAAUAUAAAAAACUGUCACUGGUCAGCUGGCUCUUUUUCCUAUGAAAUCUGUCAGUACCAUAUUCCACCUCUUGUGCUCAAGGAUGGCCACAGAGCCCGAGUAUACCAGGAAAACCAAUAUUUGCAUUACAGGUUGCUCCUGUCCUUCUACCUGAGUGACUAACCUAAUUUUUCUAGUUCCAUAAGUACACAAUUAGUUUAGUAACUGCCAUCACAGAGUACCAUGUACACUCAUGGUGUAAGCUAAAAAUUGACACAGACUUCUAGGAGCUUUGUUUAUACCGAUUACUUAAUCUGAUUGUAUAGAUUGACUAUUUGUGUGGAAGGAAUUUCCACUCUGUUUAAAUGAUGGGAUUCUAUCAAGAUAGCGCUCAUGAUCAUGACCUUUUGGGUAGUGUUCUUAAACAAAAUUCUACAGAGACUAAAUGUUAUAGAUGAUCCUCCCAUUUUCAAUUUUAACCAAUUCUGUCCCUUUCUUGAGACCCCAACCCCUGUGCAUGCUUCCUCAGUCUUGUGGUGGGACUGGAUACAAUUAUGACCCCCUCCCCCCAGCACCAUUUUCCAUGGAGUUCAAAAGAAAAAAGAUUUUUUUUUUCUUAAUGUUACAUAUCAUAGUGAAUGGUUUCCCCAGUGUAUAUGAAUGUUUUAAGUGUCUCCAAUAGCUUAUGAAGUUUAGGAGCUUUCCAGUACUCAUUUAAUAAGAUUUAAUCAGUUGCUAAUGGAAAUUUUACCACCUUUCAUUUUCCCUCUUUUACCAAAUUUCAGCUCUCAGGAGCUGCUCUACAAUUCUAGAAUUGCUUUUCUUGCCUCUCUUUAGUCACUGGUCACAGGAGGUUCCUGCUCAGUAGUGAUAUUGUGAAUUAGGAUAACUUUUUUUUUGGCGACUUAGAUUUAAGAGAAAAGAUCCUGUUUCUGUUGGAAAGAAACAAGCUUUUAUCUUUUCGCCAACUGAACAACACACCAAAAGCAGCCUAGGGAUGAGCAUUCUUUGAAAGCAAUUAGGUUAUUCACCUGGUAUUAAAAUAUAUUUACUAUUUAAAAAAAUCUGUGACUUUAUGAAGUUCAUUUUAAAGGCAGCAUCAAAAACUGAAAAGAAAGGGAAAAAAACCCUGCUUCUCUGCACUUGUUUGGAGCUCCCCGAAACAGGAGCCACGGGGAAGAGGCUCAGAGGAGGCUGCCCUUUCGAGAACACGCUGGGCAGGUGGCUCACAGUCACGCUUUCCCACGCCGCACACAGCCCUGAUAUUUCCAGCCCGGAAAGAAGUGGUCCUGAGCCUGGCCGAGAAGCACUUCACACUCCUCUCUCGUGUUCUGAAUGGUGUUCGUGUCAGUCUGCAGCUGUGUAUGGUAUUAUGUCUUAUUCUCCUGCAUCACUUCUAUCCUAUCCAGUCAUAUCUAAUGUAGAAAAUUAGUUUCCAGUGAAAGUAAUAUGUAGUGCUUUUAUGAUAUUUGUGUGCAAUAUCCCCUCUUCCAUUGAGGAUAUUUGAUGUAAAGGAAAAAAAAAACUCAGUUCCACAAUAAAAUACAAAAGUGGC
ensembl:lncRNA